GACGAACGCUGGCGGCGUGCCUAAUACAUGCAAGUAGAACGCUGAAGGAGGAGCUUGCUUCUCUGGAUGAGUUGCGAACGGGUGAGUAACGCGCAGGUAACCUGCCUGGUAGCGGGGGAUAACUAUUGGAAACGAUAGCUAAUACCGCAUAAGAGUAGAUGUUGCAUGACAUUUGCUUAAAAGGUGCAAUUGCAUCACUACCAGAUGGACCUGCGUUGUAUUAGCUAGUUGGUGGGGUAACGGCUCACCAAGGCGACGAUACAUAGCCGACCUGAGAGGGUGAUCGGCCACACUGGGACUGAGACACGGCCCAGACUCCUACGGGAGGCAGCAGUAGGGAAUCUUCGGCAAUGGACGGAAGUCUGACCGAGCAACGCCGCGUGAGUGAAGAAGGUUUUCGGAUCGUAAAGCUCUGUUGUAAGAGAAGAACGAGUGUGAGAGUGGAAAGUUCACACUGUGACGGUAUCUUACCAGAAAGGGACGGCUAACUACGUGCCAGCAGCCGCGGUAAUACGUAGGUGGCAAGCGUUAUCCGGAUUUAUUGGGCGUAAAGAGAGUGCAGGCGGUUUUCUAAGUCUGAUGUGAAAGCCUUCGGCUUAACCGGAGAAGUGCAUCGGAAACUGGAUAACUUGAGUGCAGAAGAGGGUAGUGGAACUCCAUGUGUAGCGGUGGAAUGCGUAGAUAUAUGGAAGAACACCAGUGGCGAAGGCGGCUACCUGGUCUGCAACUGACGCUGAGACUCGAAAGCAUGGGUAGCGAACAGG
rnacentral:rRNA from 1 species